GUUCUGUUUACAACGCGGCUUUCUGACCAGUGUGUAAUAUAUGCGCGCGUGAAAGUGGUUGUCGUAUUCGUAGUUGAAGUUGUCGUCAUAAUGUCAUAAAGGGAAAGAAAAAAGACAGACGUGUUUAGUAAUGACCUAAUACUAAGUCGGUAUUAAAUUUGAACGAACAGGGACUGUCUAACGAUACCGAACACCAAGCUAUUCGAUAUUGCAAACUGGCAAUGACUCUCGUGUUCGAUUAAUCGUAUACAACAUUACUUACGUGACAAAAAUUAAAAAAAAGAAGAAAAAAAUGAACUAAUAAUGAAAUAAAAAUAUAAAAAUAAUAAUAAAAAAAAGUGGUUUUUUCAGUGGUAUUAAUGAAUCUGAAGGAGUAUACUAAGGAAUGUCGCAUAGUGGAAAAAUUGUUCUGCGUGAUGGGGAAAUCAACUAUUAUCUCAAGGGAUUGAAAUCUUCGACGCAAACUAUAAUCGCCAUAAUUUGCAUGUAAUAUUAAAACGUUCAUGCUAAUUACAUAUCAUGUAUAAUAAAAAUCCAUAGAAAACAUUAAGUUCAUCGAACUUGCGAAUCACAGAAGCUAACGUUCUCUUUUUUCCAAGUGUAAGAAUUGUUCGCCUUUAGAAUUACGAUUUUUCAUCGGUAUCGAUACGAUGCAGUAUAAUGGAACGAAAUUAAUUUGCAAACAAUCGCAAUUUUCACCGCGCUAAAAGCACUUUCUCCCUUUCUGUCGUAACUGUUUCUCAAGCUUCUCCGACAUUUUUAUUUUUUACGAAUAUAUUCAUUUUACGAAAUUCAGCAUCAUUUUUCAAUCUUUUUGUGAAAGUGCCAACAAUCAAAGGUUUCAACGAUAUACACACCGUUUGAAUUUCGACGCUUAUAAAUCAAACUCUACCCUUUGAAUGCAUUGAUGUUUUAACGUAUACAAAUAUCAAUUAACGAUCGGACGAACGAGAGAAUUGUUUUCCAAGCGUCCAAUCGAGCGUAACAAUGAACAGUAUAUUAAAAUCGUAUGCACGCAGCUAAUUUCUCAUUCUACCGGCUCAUUAUGUCCGGCAAUGCGAGACCAGUAUGAAUGAAACAUAAGGCCCGAUGUUUAUCAUCCUCCGACGAAGUUCAACCCCGCUAGCUAUGAAUAUUCAUCGAGGACGCGAGCUUCGGCCAUGAUAAUAAUAAUAAAAUCUCGAUGAAAUAAGGAACGAGGCGAAAAAUAAGUUCACGAUGGUCGAAGAAACGACGCCCUGGAGGGGGAUCGCCCACGAUCUAUCCUUAUACCGCGAAUUAUAUCAUUGAACGAUUAACAUAAUUCCGUCAUCCGUCCUCUCGAUGCAGAGACAAUUACACACGAGGAAUUGUCGUGAGAAAUUUGCAUGAUACCUUGAAAAGAUACUUGUAUAACAACAUAUAUAUAUUUCAAG